rnacentral:rRNA from 14 species
CGACCUGCACGAAUGGCGUAACGACUUCCCCACUGUCUCCAGGAUAUGCUCAGCGAAAUUGAAUUCUCCGUGAAGAUGCGGAGUACCCGCGGUUAGACGGAAAGACCCCGUGCACCUUUACUGCAGCUUCAGAGUGGCAUUAGGAAAGAGUUGUGUAGCAUAGGUGGGAGGCUUUGAAACUUGGGCGCCAGUCCGAGUGGAGCCAUAGGUGAAAUACCACCCUGCUGUUUUCUGAUGUCUAACCAACUACCGUUAUCCGGUAGUGGGACCCUCUGUGGCGGGUAGUUUGACUGGGGCGGU